rnacentral:tRNA from 1 species
GCAUUAAUGGGGUAGUUGUAGCCUGGGUCAUUGCUAAGCUUGCCAGGCAUGAUUGACCCACUGGGGGUUCAAUUCCCUCUUAAUGCA